CAGUGAUGACCUUCCAGGACCCUUCCAAUAAAACCCAUUCAGUGAUGACCUUCCAGGACCUUUCCAACCCCAUCCAUUCAGUGAUGACCUUCCAGGACCCUUCCAACCAUGUCCAUUUAGUGAUGACCUUCCAGGACCUUUCCAAUCCCAUCCAUUCAGUGAUGACCUUCCAGGACCCUUCCAGUCCAACCCGUUCAGUGAUGACCUUCCAGGACCCUUCCAAUCCAACCCACUCUACAACGACCUUCCAGGACCUUUCCAAUCCAACCCACUCAGUGAUGACCUUCCAGGACCUUUCCAAUCCCAUCCAUUCAGUGAUGACCUUCCAGGACCCUUCCAGUCCAACCCGUUCAGUGAUGACCUUCCAGGACCCUUCCAGUCCAACCCACUCAGUGAUGACCUUCCAGGACCCUUCCAAUAAAACCCAUUCAGUGAUGACCUUCCAGGACCUUUCUAAUCAAACCCUCUCAGAAGUGACCUUCCAGGACCCUUCUAAUCCCACCCGCAUAGUGAUGACCUUCCAAGACCUUUCCAAUCCCAUCCAUUCAGUAAUGACCUUCCAGGACCCUUCUAAUUAAAUCUGUUCAGUAAUGACCUUCCAGGACCUUUCCAACCCCAUCCAUUCAGUACUGACCUUCCAGGACCCUUCCAGUCCAACCCGUUCAGUGAUGGCCUUCCAGGACCCUUCCAAUCCAACCCACUCCCAGAGACCUUCCAGGACCUUUCCAAUCCAACCCACUCAGAGAUGACCUUCCAGGACCUUUCCAAUCCCAUCCAUUCAGUGAUGACCUUCCAGGACCCUUCCAGUCCAACCCGUUUAGUGAUGACCUUCCAGGACCUUUCCAAUCCCAUCCACUCAGUGAUGACCUUCCAGGACCCUUCCAAUAAAACCCAUUCAGUGAUGACCUUCCAGGACCCUUCCAGCCCCACCACCCCGUAUUGCUGUGACCUUCCAGGACCCUUCCGCCCCAACCACCCCACAUCUCUGUGACCUUCCAGGACCCUUCCGCCCCAAUCACUCCGUAUUGCUGUGACCUUCCAGGACCCUUCUAUCCAAACCACUCCAUAGCUCUGUGACCUUCCAGGACCCUUCCACAGCAACCAGUCCGUAUCUCUGUGACCUUCCAGGACCCUUCCACCUCAAACCUCCCCAUAUCCCUAUGGAGCUCUAUGGGGUCACUAUGGGGUUCUAUGGGGUCACUAUGGGGCUGUUAUGGGGUCACUAUGGGGUUCUAUGGGGUCACUGUGGAGCUCUAUGAGGUCGCUAUGGGGCUCUAUGGGGUCACCGUGGAGGUAUAUGGGGUCCCUAUUGAGCUCUAUAGGGUCGCUAUGGGGCUGUUAUGGGGUCCCUAUGGGGCUCUAUGAGGUCACUGUGGGGCUCUAUUAAGCUCUAUAGGGUCGCUAUGGGGCUGUUAUGGGGUCCCUAUGGGGCUCGAUGGGGUCACUAUGGGGCUGUUAUGAGGUCACUAUGGAGCUCUAUGGGGUCUCUGUGGGGCUUUUAUGGGGUCACUAUGGAGCUCUAUGGGGUCACUAUGGGGCUGUUAUGGGGUCACUGUGGAGCUCUAUGGGGUCACUAUGGAGGUAUAUGGGGUCCCUUUUGAGCUCUAUGGGGUCGCUAUGGGGCUGUUAUGGGGUCCCUAUGGGGCUCUACGGGGUCACUAUGGGGCUCUAUGGGGUCCCUAUGGGGCUCUACGGGGUCACUAUGCGGCUGUGAUUGGGUCAUUAUGGAGCUCUAUGGGGUCACUAUGGGGCUCUAUGGGGUCCCUAUGGGGCUCUAUGGGGACACUGUGGGGUUCUAUGGGGUCACCGUGGAGCUCUAUGGGGUCACUCUCGGGCUCUAUGGGGUCAUUACAGAACUCUCUGGGGUCCCUAUGGGGCUCUAUGGGGUCCCUAUGGGCACCAAUGAGGUCUCUAUGGGGCUGUUAUAGGGUCUCUAUGGAACCCUAUGGGGUCGCUAUGGGGCAGUUAUGGGGUCAUUAUGGAGCUCUUUGGGGUCCCUAUGGGGCUCUAUGGGGUCACUGUGGGGCUUUAUGGGGUCAUUGUGGAGCUCAAUGGGGUCGCUAUAGGGCUGUUAUGGGGUCCCUAGGGUGCUCUAUGGGGUCCCUAUGGGGCUCUAUGGGGUCACAAUGGGGCUCUAUGGGGUCCCUAUGGGCCCUAAUGGGGUCAUUAUGGGGCAGUUAUGGGGUCACUGUGGAGCUCUAUGGGGUCAUUACGGAGCUCUCUGGGGUCCCUAUGGGGCUCUAUGGGGUCACUGUGGGGAAGUUAUGGGGUCACUAUGGGACUCUAUGGGGACACUGUGGGGCUCUAUGGGGUCACUAAGGAGCUCUAUGGGGUCCCUAUGGGGCUGUUAUAGCGUCUCUAUGGAGCUCUAUGGGGUCACUAUGGGGCUCUAUGGGGUCACUAUGGGGCUCUAUGGGGUCCCUGUGGGGCUUUAUGGGGUCCCUAUGGAGCUCUAUUGGGUCCCUAUGGGGUUAUAGCGUCUCUAUGGAGCUCUAUGGGGUCACUAUGGGGCUUAAUGGGGACACUGUGGGGCUCUAUGGGGUCACUAUGGAGCUUUGUGGGGUCACUGUGGAGCUCUAUGGGGUCCCUAUGGAGCUCUAUGGGGUCACUAUGGGGCUCUAUGGGGUCACUAUGGAGUUACUUGGGGUACCUAUGGAGCUCUAUGGGGUCACUAUGGGGCUCUAUGGGGUCACUGUGGGGCUCGAUGGGAUCACUAUAGGGCUCUAUGGGGUCACUGUAGGGCUGUUAUUGGGUCCCUAUGGGGCUCUACGGGGUCCCUAUGGGCCCCAAUGAGGUCACUAUGGGGCUGUUAUGGGGUCACUGUGGAGCUCUCUGGGGUCCCUGUGGGGCUCUAAGGGGUCACUGUGGGGCUCUAUGGUGCCACUAUGGGGCUCGAUGGGGUCCCUAUGGGCCCCAAUGAGGUCAUUAUGGGACUGUUAUGGGGUCUCUAUGGAACUCUAUGGGGUCACCAUGGGGCUCUAUUUGUUCACUAUGGGGCUCUAUGGGGUCACUGUGUGGCUCUAUUGGGUCACUAUGGGCCCCAAUGAGGUCACAAUGGGGUUCUAUGGGGUCCCUAUGGGCCCUAAUGGGGUCAUUAUGGGGCAGUUAUGGGGUCACUGUGGGGCUCUAUGGGGUCAUUACGGAGCUCUCUGGGGUCCCUAUGGGGCUCUUUGGGGUCCCUAUAGGGCUCUAUGGAGUCCCUAUGUGGCUCUAUGGGGUCACUAUGGGGCUCAUUGGGGUCACUGUGGGGCUCUAUGGGGUCACUAUGGGGCUCUAUGGGGACACUGUGGGGCUCUAUGGGGUCACUAUGGGGCUGUAAUGGGGUCUCUAUGGAACUCUAUGGGGUCACUAUGGGGCAGUUCUGGUGUCACUAUGGGGCUCUAUGGGGUCACUGUGUGGCUCUAUUGGGUCAUUAUGGGGUUCUAUGGGGUCACUAUGUGGCUCUAUGGAGUCCCUAUGGGGCUCUAUGGGGUCAUUGUGGGGCUCUAUGGCGUCACUGUGGGGCUCUAUGGGGUCCCUAUGGGGCUCUAUGGGGACACUGUGGGGCUCUAUGGGGUCACUCUGGGGCUCUAUGGGGUCACUAUGGGGCUGUUAUGGGGUCACCGUGGAGCUCUAUGGGGUUACUAUGGAGGUAUAUGGGGUCCCUUUUGAGCUCUAUGGGGUCGCUAUGGGGCUGUUAUGGGGUCACUAUGGGGCUCUAUGGGGUCACUAUGCUGCUGUGAUUGGGUCAUUAUGGAGCUCUAUGGGGUCACUAUGGGGCUCUAUGGGGUCCCUAUGGGGCUCUAUGGGGACACUGUGGGGUUCUAUGGGGUCACCGUGGAGCUCUAUGGGGUCACUAUGGGGCUGUUAUGGGGUCACCGUGGAGCUCUAUGGGGUCACUAUGGAGGUAUAUGGGGUGCCUAUUGAGCUCUAUAGGGUCGCUAUGGGGCUGUUAUGGGGUCCCUAUGGGGCUCUUUGGGGUCCCUAUAGGGCUCUGUGGAGUCCCUAUGGGGCUCUAUGGGGUCACUGUGGGGCUCUAUGGGGUCACGAUGGAGCUCUAUGGGGUCCCUAUGGGGCUCUAUGGGGUCCCUAUGCGGCUCUAUGGGGACACUGUGGGGCUUUAUGGGGUCACUGUGGAGCUCUAUGGGGUCAUUACAGAGCUCUCUGGGGUCCCUAUGGGGCUCUAUGGGGUCACUAUGGGCCUCAAUGAGGUCACUAUGGGGCUGUUAUGGGGUCUCUAUGGAACCCUAUGGGCUCGCUAUGGGGCAGUUAUGGGGUCAUUAUGGAGCUCUUUGGGGUCCCUAUGGAGCUCUAUGGGGUCACCUUGGAGCUCUAUGGGGUCUCUAUGGAGCUCUAUGGGGUCCCUAUGGGGCUCUAUGGGGUCACUACGGGGCUCUAUGGGGUCACUGUGGGGCAGUUAUGGGGUCACUAUGGGACUCUAUGGGGUCACUAUGGGGCAGUUAUGGGUUCACUAUGGAGCUCUAUGGGGUCACUAUGGGGCAGUUAUGGGGUCACUAUGGGGCUCUAUGGGGUCACUGUGGGGCUCUAUGGGGUCACUGUGCAGCUCUAUUGGGCUGUUAUGGGGGCACCACUGUGUUCAGCUAUGGGGUCAGCGAUGGGAUCCCUUAUGGGGUCUCUUAUGGGGUCAGUAUGGGGUCAGCAAUGGGAUCCCUUAUGGGGUCUCUUAUGGGGUCGCUUAUGGGGUCAGUAUGGGGUCAGCAAUGGGAUCCCUUAUGGGGUCUCUUAUGGGGUCGCUUAUGGGGUCAGUAUGGGGUCAGCAAUGGGAUCCCUUCUGAGGUCACUUAUGGGGUCUCUUAUGGGGUCAGUAUGGGGUCAGCAAUGGGAUCCCUUAUGGGGAUCACUUAUAGGGCACUUAUGGGGUCAGCGUUGGGAUCCUUUAUGGGGUCACUUAUGGGGUCAGCGAUGGGAUGCCUUAUGGGGUCUCUUAUGAGGUCAGUAUGGGGUCAGCGAUGGGAUCCCUUAUGGGGUCACUUAUGGGGUCAGUUUGGGUCAGCAAUUGGAUCCCUUAUGGGGUUGCUUCUGGGGUCAGCGAUGGGAUUCCUUAUGGGGUCUCUUAUGGGGUCAGUAUGGGAUCCCUUCUGGGGUCACUUAUGGGGCACUUAUGGGGUCAGUGAUGGGAUCUCUAUGGGGUCACUUCUGGGGUCAGUGUGGGUCAGCGAUGGGAUGCCUUAUGGGGUCACUUAUAGGGUCUCUUAGGGGGUCAGCAAUUGGAUCCCUUAUGGGGUCGCUUCUGGGGUCAGCGAUGGGACUCCUUAUGGGGUCUCUUAUGGGGUCAGCGAUGGGAACCCUUAUGGGGUCUCUUAUGGGGUCAGUAUGGGGUCAGCAAUCGGAUCCCUUAUGGGGUCACUUAUGGGGUCAGUAUGGGGUCAGCAAUGGGAUCCCUUCUGCGGUCACUUAUGGGGCA
ensembl:lncRNA